CCUACGGGUGGCUGCAGUAGGGAAUAUUGGACAAUGGGCGAAAGCCUGAUCCAGCCAUGCCGCGUGAUAGAUGAAGGCCCUCUGGGUUGUAAAUAUCUUUUAUCUGGGAAGAAACAAUCUUAUUCUUAAGAUCUUGACGGUACCAGAGGAAUAAGCACCGGCUAACUCCGUGCCAGCAGCCGCGGUAAUACGGAGGGUGCAAGCGUUAUCCGGAUUCACUGGGUUUAAAGGGUGCGUAGGAAGGCAGAUAUGAAAGAUCCGAGCUUAACGUGGAAACUGCCAUUGAUACUGCCAGUCUUGAAUGUCGUAGAGGUAAGCGGAAUGUUGCAUGUAGCGGUGAAAUGCUUAGAUAUGUUACAGAACACCAAUUGCGAAGGCAGCUUACUAUGCGAUGAUUGACGCUGAGGCACGAAAGCGUGGGGAGCAAACAGGAUUAGAUACCCCUGUAGC
rnacentral:rRNA from 1 species